GACGUAGGGCGCGAGCGUUGUCCGGAUUUAUUGGGCGUAAAGAGCUCGUAGGCGGCUUGUCGCGUCGUCCGUGAAAACUUGGGGCUCAACCCCAAGCUUGCGGUCGAUACGGGCAGGCUAGAGUUCGGUAGGGGAGACUGGAAUUCCUGGUGUAGCGGUGAAAUGCGCAGAUAUCAGGAGGAACACCGGUGGCGAAGGCGGGUCUCUGGGCAACAACUGACGCUGAGGAGCGAAAGCAUGGGGAGCGAACAGG
rnacentral:rRNA from 1 species